rnacentral:rRNA from 1 species
UACGUACCGUCCAAACGUUAUUCGGAAUUACUGGGCUUAAAGGGUACGUAGGCGGCGCUGUCAGUCGGGUGUGAAAUCCCUCGGCCCAACCGAGGAACUGCGCCCGAUACUGCAGUGCUUGAGGGAGACAGAGGUAAGCGGAACUGAUGGUGGAGCGGUGAAAUGCGUUGAUAUCAUCAGGAACACCAGUGGCGAAAGCGGCUUACUGGGUCUCUUCUGACGCUGAGGUACGAAAGCUAGGGGAGCAAACGGG